rnacentral:rRNA from 1 species
UACGUAGGGUGCGAGCGUUAAUCGGAAUUACUGGGCGUAAAGCGUGCGCAGGCGGUGAUGUAAGCCAGAUGUGAAAUCCCCGGGCUUAACCUGGGAAUGGCAUUUGGGACUGCAAGGCUAGAGUGUGGCAGAGGAGACUGGAAUUCCUGGUGUAGCAGUGAAAUGCGUAGAUAUCAGGAGGAAUACCGAUGGCGAAGGCAGGUCUCUGGGCUAACACUGACGCUCAUGCACGAAAGCGUGGGGAGCAAACAGG